CCCAAUCGGGCGGUAAAUUCCGUCCA
rnacentral:siRNA from 1 species